UACGGAGGGUGCAAGCGUUGCUCGGAAUUACUGGGCGUAAAGCGAACGCAGGCGGUUCAUUAAGUCGGGCGUGAAAGCCCCGGGCUCAACCUGGGAAUUGCACUCGAUACUGGUGAACUUGAGUCUGAGAGAGGGAAGCGGAAUUCCUGGUGUAGAGGUGAAAUUCGUUGAUAUCAGGAGGAACACCGGCGGCGAAGGCGGCUUCCUGGCUCAGUACUGACGCUCAUGUUCGAAAGCGUGGGGAGCGAACAGG
rnacentral:rRNA from 1 species